rnacentral:rRNA from 1 species
UGAAUACGAGAUGCUACGGCGUCGAAGCAGUCUAUGUCAUACUUCCAAGAAAAGCUUGCACUGUCAUAAACAAAUAAUGCCUGUACCAUAACCGACACAGGUGGGUAGGUAGAGUAUACUAAGGGGCGCGAGAUAACUCUCUCUAAGGAACUCGGCAAAAUGACUCCGUAACUUCGGGAGAAGGAGUGCCUUAUUUAUAAGGUUGCAAUAACAAGAUCCAAGCAACUGUUUACCAAAAACACAGGUCUCCGCUAAGUCGUAAGACGAUGUAUGGGGGCUGACGCCUGCCCAGUGCCAGAAGGUUAAAGAAGUUGGUUAGCAUCCGCGAAGCUGAUAACUGAAGCCCUGGUGAACGGCGGCCGUAACGAUAACGGUCCUAAGGUAGCGAAAUUCCUUGUCGGGUAAGUUCCGACCCCACGAAAGGCGUAAUGAUUUGGAUACUGUCUCGGAGAGGGGCUCGGUGAAAUAGACUUGUCUGUGAAGAUGCGGACUACCUGCACCAGGACAGAAAGACCCUAUGAAGCUUUACUGUAACCUGAAAUUGAAAUUGGACUUUACUUGCGCAGUAUAGGUGGGAGGCGUUGAGAAUAUUCUUGCGGGAUUAUUGGAGCCAUCAGUGAGAUACCACUCUUGUAAUGUUAGAUUUCUAACUUUGUAUCAUUAUCUGGUCAAAGAACAGUUUCAGGCGGGCAGUUUGACUGGGGCGGUCGCCUCCUAAACGGUAACGGAGGCGCACAAAGGUUUCCUCUGAACGGGUAGAAAUCGUAUCUAGAGUGUAAAGGCAUAAGGAAGCUUGACUGUGAGACCUACAAGUCGAGCAGGGACGAAAGUCGGUCUUAGUGAUCUGACGGUGCUGAGUGGAAAGGCCGUCACUCAACGGAUAAAAGUUACUCUAGGAUAACAGGCUGAUCUCCCCCAAGAGUUCACAUCGACGGGGAGGUUUGGCACCUCGAUGUCGGCUCAUCGCAUCCUGGGGCGGUAGUACGUCCCAAGGGUUGGGCUGUUCGCCCAUGAAAGCGGUACGCGAGCUGGGUUCAGAACGUCGUGAGACAGUUCGGUCCAUAUCCGGUGUAGGCGUUAGAAUAUUGAGAGGAGCCUUCUUUAGUACGAGAGGACCGAGAAGGACAUACCUCUGGUGUACCAGUUAUCGUGCCAACGGUAAACGCUGGGUAGCUAUGUGUGGAGUGGAUAACCGCUGAAAGCAUCUAAGUGGGAAGCCCACCUCAAGAUAAGUAUUCUCAC